AAUCGAAACCCGCUCCAGUGAUGCCAGCUAUCCCUCCAGCGCCGGUUCCACCGAAGACCACCAGUUGUGGUCUUCACAAGGGCCACAAAAGACGGGCGGGGUGUUCAGUAGCACCCCGAAGGGCAAGCUUUCCUGGGGGUCCUUGUCUUGCUCCAGAGGAAGAAGGCGUCCGGAGGGCUUACCUAAUGAGCAAGCAAGCACGGAAAGGAGCCAACCACAAGGUUGGAGGUGCAGCGCCCCGCGGGAGGUGUAGAGAGAGACGAAGAUGGGUGAGCAAUCUGCCUGCAACGCGAGAGGGUCGCCUGGCAAGGUUUGUUUAUGUCCGUGCGUGCGUAGGGCGAAUUUAUAGGCGCCGGGGCCCCGCCCCCAGGGCCUCGCCCCUCCCAGACCCUCUACUCCCAGCGCAGCAGGGGACGGGGACACACCCCUUUCUCCCGCCCGCCUCGCGUUGCACCCUGCCUGGGCUGGGCGGGGCGGGGCGGGCUGGAGCUGCCGCCUGUUGCGCAAGCCUUUGCAGGGGCGCGACCGGAGAGACUGCCCGGCCCUGCCUGCGGCUCCUCCCUGUGAUCCCCUCUCGGGAUCGCGGCGUGUGCAGCGAACGUGUGCCCACCGAGUGGUAGCGUGGUGUGCCCGUGCGCGCUCGUGCGCGCGUGCAUACGGACUCCCUUGUGUCUCUCUGCGCGACCACUUGGCCCCCCUAUAGCCUUUGAGUUUCCUAAGCCUCUGCCCGCGCCACGCCCUUCUGGGCGGCACCCCCAACUUCCUCCGGGUCUCCACGCAGUCACUCCCAAGCCCCAUUUACAGCCUAGACGGCAGACUUUCUCUCCAGGCUCCUUUCACAUUGCUUAGCUCCCUUUAUUCUUGCUGAUCUUGGCGCCCCACAACUCCCUUCCUACUCUGAGCUGCUGUUUCCCCGCUGCUCCAGCCCGCUGUGUCAGCUAUAAGCACUCUACAGACUGCAGUUUGUGGUCCCCAGAACGUGCAUAGAAUUUGCUUUCCAACCUUGGAUCUUCCUUCUGUCAUGAUAUUCUAAAACCUUGGCCUGCUUGCCUGUUACCUCUCAGCCUUGACCUACACCUGAGCCUCUCCAGGGAGCUUUUCUUAAGCAAGUGGAUACCCUGGUUACACCCCAGAGCAGCUUAGUUAGAAUCUGGGAGUGUGCCCCAACACUGGGGCUUUGAAAAAAUCUCCUCAAAGGGUGCAGCAAGAUGGCACACCUGGUAAAGACAUGUGGCCUGCAAAACCCCGGGGACCUAAAUUCGAUGCCCGGAAACCACAAAGUGGAAAGAAAGAACACAGUGCCAUACAUUUUCCUCAGACCCUCACUCCCCAUCCCCACUAAAUAAAUAAAUAUUGCCCGGAUUGGCUCAGAUGUGAAACCACAUUGAGAAUCUCAGCACCCAGCACCAAGAAAACAUCAUGUUAUAGAGAGAUUGAGUCACACUAAGGCCCAGUCCAGUCAUUGUUUCAACGCCACCUGCUCAACCCUUAUGACUCAAGUGGCCUUCCCCUCCCCCCUCCUCUAGAUAACCUGACCCUCAUUCUCUUGCUCUAUGGAUAUCUAGGGAGCCACUUUAAGAGCCUGGUCUAUGCUAAGGAGCUGGGGAAGAAGGAAGUAAAAAAAGGGAAAGCUCUUUCUUUGGGGGACAUAGCAAAAUGGAGCCCCAAGAUUUCUGUUUCCCAAGACAUCUAUACAAGAUCGCUAAGCUGAGCUUACCAGAUCUAUAGUAGUCCUGAGCACCUACUAUGUUCAAUAACAGCUGGACUCUAGGACCAUGAGACAUGGAUGUCAGGACCUGUUGUGGCAAGUAGAACUAUGGCAAGCAAGAAACCCACAGUCAACAGUCCUGUCUGCAGCCUCCUCGAUGUCACAUGGAGUCCUCAGGAGAGGCUAGGCCUGGAGCCAUCGGAACAAGCUGCAACAGGAACAUAAAGAUCUCAUACUCCCGAAAGGGCACAUGUGAUGCCAAGCUCCACAAAGCUGAACCCAAGGGUUGAGACACUGACCUAUGCAGAUUAGCCUGCCAUUACCUCACUGGACACACCAUGAUCUUUUCUCCCCUGGCCCCCAGUGCCUGUAGGCAGAUCAGUGAUGGUUGACUUUGGGGGACUCAUUUCUCCAGCUUUGUUAAAUCAAGUCAAUGCAUCUUAAUGCUCCAAGAACUUGGAGUUGGGCCUGUGCCAAUCUCACUGUAGCACAUCAAAAGGAUCAUAAACCUCUGAGAGGAGAGGGGAGGGUAAGGAAAAGUCUUCCUAGAGAGGGACUGUCUCACUGGUGCUGUCAACAAGCAACCCUCACAAGGUGAUGGCUUAGAGAAAGAAAUUGGUGACAUGAGUAGGCAUUGGUGGCAGAUGGAGAUUACCCUAGGACCCAAGCUGGUGGAGGGUCCAGUUUGUCACCUCUGCCAAAAUGGAAGAAGGGGGCACUACCCACUGGGCAUGCGCUGAUAAAACUUCUGUUCAGAAAAAAAAAAAAUCAACAAAAAAAUUAUGUGACGCUUUUAUCUAUUUAUUUUUUUUUUUUUUGCAUUACAUUGACCCCAGUAACUCAACUGACCCCAUCUAGUGUUCACAUGACAGGAAACUGGAAUUCCACCUCGUGUUCCACCAAGGCCUGCGAACAUAGUAUAAUCAGCAUAAGUGAGUUCCCUGGGAAGAGCAAUGGCUUCUCAGGUUCUUUUGAUGAUCUUUCCCUCUGAGACUGUUAAAGGUGGAAUGGGACAUUGACUGCCUGCCCCUAAUCUCAGGAAGAAGGACUAGCACUUUGGAAACCACUUUUGAGGAGUGUGACCUAGACUGUGCCAACCAUAUCAAGGGCCUGCUGAAUAGGAGAAAUUAACAUGGGUCAUUGGACAUUAGACCCACCUCAGAGGUUAAAGGAAAGAGAUUAGACACUCUCAAGUCAUUGGAACACUCAUGUUCUCAGAGCUUGCAGCUUCUUUUUGUCAUUCAACAUGAUAUAUUGGUAGAUGUUGGUCUAGAUUCUCAAUGAACCAAUUGGCCAAUUCUGUGGCCACCCAUUCUUUUCAUUAUUUUAUAGCAGUACAGGAGUGGUCUUGCUGUACAAGGUAAGCUAAAUGGUAUGGAGUUGGACUCAAUGAUACAGUUGUCAUGGGUGACUUGCCUUCUCUAUCCAAAUCUAUAUGGCCUAACCCUUGUGGCCUCAGAACAAAAAUAUAUCGGGAGACAGGUCUUCACCAUUAAAAUGGUCUCACCCAA
ensembl:processed_transcript Gm2895 predicted gene 2895